CCAAGUACAGUGGUGUUUACAACUAAUUAAUCACAACCAGUUACAGAUUACUUUGUUCCUUCUCCAUUACCACUGCUUCACUUG
rnacentral:Y_RNA from 1 species